CUAACAAGGUUGGAGACUGAAUUCUUCUGUUUAUUCACAGAAUAGAUGUAAAAGAAAUAGCAACUGUGAAAUCUUCAUAGCAAUUAUGCUUCACCUCUGACCUGGAGAAAUCAUCUCUAGGAGAGGUUCAGGUUCCCUGUCCAUUCAAGUCUCAUUUUUC
rnacentral:sRNA from 1 species